CAUGCACUGGUGGGGUCCCUCAGCCUGACCUGCGCCCUCUCCCAAUCCAGGACCCCUCAGGGGAUGUCAGAGAGCCGGUUUCGGCCCAGUCACGCAGGCCAGGCUGAGGGACCCCACCGGUGCAUA
rfam:Myotis brandtii contig298202, whole genome shotgun sequence.